rnacentral:miRNA from 1 species
GGCUUCAUUGACCGGAAGGAAUCCCUUCUGGUCAAUGAGGUUGUUAAUACCUCAUUGACCAGAAAUAUUUUCUUCCGGCGGAUGAGGUAUAAAAACCCCAUCAACCAGAAGGAAAUCCUUCUGGUCAAUGAGGUACAACAACCUCAUCGGCCAGAAGGAAUUCUUUCCGGUCGAUGAGGUA